rnacentral:rRNA from 1 species
UACAGAGGGUGCAAGCGUUAAUCGGAGUUACUGGGCGUAAAGGGCGCGUAGGUGGUCAUUUAAGUUAGAUGUGAAAUCCCUGGGCUUAACCUAGGAACUGCAUCUAAUACUGGAUGACUGGAGUACUGUAGAGGGUAGUGGAAUUUCCGGUGUAGCGGUGAAAUGCGUAGAGAUCGGAAGGAACACCAGUGGCGAAGGCGGCUACCUGGACAGAUACUGACACUGAGGCGCGAAAGCCAGGGGAGCAAACGGG